rnacentral:lncRNA from 1 species
GAAUUAAGGUGAUGCUGGCCUCAUAGAACAAAUUUGGAAGUACUCCAUCUCUUUCUCUCUUUCCAAACAGCUUUAGUAGAAUAGGUAUGGUUUCUUAUUUAAACGUUUGAUAGAAUUCCCCUGGGAAGCCAUCUGGCCCUGGACUUUUGUGUCUUGGGAGGGUUUUGAUGACUGCUUCAAUUUCCUCCCUGGUUAUUGGCCUGUUCAGGUUUUCUAUUUCUUCCUGUUCCAGUUUUGGUAGUUUGUGGCUUUCCAGGAAUGCGUCCAUUUCUUCUAGAUUGCCGAAUUUAUUGGCGUAUAGCUGUUCAUAAUAUGUUUUUAAAAUGGUUUGUAUUUCCUUGGUGUUGGUAGUGAUCUCUCCUUUCUCAUUCAUGAUUUUAUUAAUUUGAGUCUUCUCUCUUUUCUUUUUAAUAAGGCUGGCUAAUGGUUUAUCUAUCUUAUUAAUUCUUUCAAAGAACCAACUCCUGGUUUUGUUGAUCUGUUCCACAGUUCUUCUGGUCUCGAUUUUGUUGAGUUCUGCUCGAAUCUUUAUUAACUCUCUUCUUCUGCUGGGUAUAGGGUGCAUCUUGCUGUUUUUUCUCUAGCUCCUUUAUGUGUAUGGUUAGCUUUUGUAUUUGAGUUCUUUCCAGUUUUUGAAUGGAUGCUUGUAUUGCGAUGUAUUUCCCCCUUAGGACUGCUUGCUGCGUCCCAAAGAUUUUGAACGGUUGUAUCUUCAUUCUCAUUAGUUUCCAUGAAUCUUUUUAAUUCUUCCUUAAUUUCCUGGUUGACCCUUUCAUCUUUUAGCAGGAUGGUCCUUAACCUCCACGUGUUUGAGGUCCUUCCAAACUUCUUGUUGUGAUUUAGUUCUGAUUUCAAGGCAUUAUGGUCUGAGAAUACGCAGGGGACGAUCCCAAUCUUUUGGUAUCGUUCAGACCUGAUUUGUGACCCAGUAUGUGUUCUAUUCUGGAGAAAGUUCCAUGUGCACUUGAGAAGAAUGUGUAUUCAGUUGAGUUUGGAUGUAAAGUUCUGUAGAUAUCUGUGAAAUCCAUCUGGUCCAGUGUAUCAUUUAAAGCUCUUGUUUCUUUGGAGAUGUUGUGUUUAGAAGACCUAUCAAGUAUAGAAAGCACUAGAUUGAAGUCACCAAGUAUAAGUGUAUUAUUAUCUAAGUAUGUCUUAACUUUGGUUAUUAAUUGAUUGAUAUAUGUGGCAGCUCCCAAAUUCGGGGCAUAUAUAUUGAGGAUUUUUAAGUCCUCUUGUUGGAUAGAUCCUUUAAGUAUGAUAUAGUGUCCCUCUACAUCUCUCACUACAGUCUUCGGGGUAAUUUUAGUUUAUCUGAUAUAAGGAUGGCUACCCCUGCUUGUUUUGAGGACCAUUUGAAUGGUAAAUGGUUCUCCAACCUUUUAUUUUCAGGCUGUAGGUGUCCUUCUGUCUAAAAUGAGUCUCUUGUAGACAGCAAAUAGAUGGGUCCUGCUUUUUUAUCCAGUCUGAAACCCUGCACCUUUUGAUGGGGUCAUUAAGCCCGUUCACGUUCAGAGUUACUAUUGAAAGAUAUGAGUUUAGUGUCAUCAUGAUAUCUAUUCAGUCCUUGUUUUUUGGAUUGUUCCACUGGACUUCUUCUUAAAGGGGAAUUUUAAGAGUCCCCCUUAAAAUUUCUUGCAGAACUGGUUUGGAGGUCACAUAUUCUUUCAGUUCCUGCCUGUCUUGGAAGCUCUUUAUCUCUCCUUGUAUUCUGAAUGAGAGCCUUGCUGGAUAAAGUAUUCUUGGUUGCAUGUUCUUCUCAUUUAGACCCUGAAUAUAUCCUGCCAGCCCUUUCUGGCCUGCCAGGUCUCUGUGGAGAGGGCUGCUGUUACCCUAAUACUCCUCCCCAUAAAAGUCAGGGAUUUCUUGUCUCUUACUGCUUUAAGGAUCUUCUCUUUAUCUUUGGAAUUUGCAAGCUUCACUAUUAAAUGUCGAGUUGUUGAACGGUUUUUAUUGAUUUUAGGGGGGGAUGUCUCUAUUUCCUGGAUCUGAAUGCCUGUUUCCCUUCCCAGAUUGGGAAAGUUUUCAGCUGUGAUUUGUUCAAAUACAUAUUCUGGCCCUCUGUCCCUUUCGGCGCCCUCGGGAACCCCAAUUAAACGUAGGUUUUUCUUCCUCAGGCUGUCGUUUAUUUCCCUUAAUCUAUCCUCAUGGUCUUUUAAUUGUUGGUCUCUUUUUUCUCAGUUUCCCUCUUUGCCAUCAACUUGUCUUCUAUGUCACUCACUCGUUCUUCCACCUCGUUAACCGUCGUCGUUAGGACUUCUAGUUUGGAUUGCAUCUCAUUCAAUUGAUUUUUAAUUUCUGCCUGAUUAGAUCUAAAUUCUGCAGUCAUGAAGUCUCUUGAGUACUUUAUGCUUUCUUCUAGAGCCACCAGUAGCUUUAUAAGAGUGCUUCUGAAUUGGCUUUCUGACAUUGAAUUGUAAUCCAAAUUUUGUAACUCUGUGGGAGAGAGGACUGUUUCUGAUUCUUUCUUUUGAGGUGAGGUCUUCCUUCUAGUCAUUUUGCUCAGUGCAGAGUGGCCAAAA